UACCCAUAUCUCCAUCUCCAA
rnacentral:miRNA from 1 species